GAGCUGUGAUGUCAUGCGCCUUUUACUGGUGGAUGGGUCCAUCAGAUUAUCUGAUUAUAGAAGAGAUUCUAGGUUAUUCUGAGCUC
rfam:Helianthus annuus linkage group 4, whole genome shotgun sequence.